UGGGGGUUCGUCUAAUGGCAGGACGACUGACUCUGGAUUAGUUAAUAUUGGUUCGACUCCAGUACCCCCAGCCA
rnacentral:tRNA from 1 species